rnacentral:rRNA from 1 species
AACUUUCAACAACGGAUCUCUUGGUUCUGGCAUCGAUGAAGAACGCAGCGAAAUGCGAUAAGUAAUGUGAAUUGCAGAAUUCAGUGAAUCAUCGAAUCUUUGAACGCACAUUGCGCCCGCCAGUAUUCUGGCGGGCAUGCCU